rnacentral:rRNA from 1 species
AUCAAGAAUUUUUGGUGGGGCGGUGAGGAAAAUAUAAGGAGAACUCAUUGGCUGUCUUGGGAUAAGAUGACAAGACCAAAAGGUGAAGGGGGUAUGGGCUUCCGUGAUCUUAGGCUAUUUAAUCAAGCUCUUUUGGCCAAACAAUCGUGGCGUCUAUUGGUUUUUUCACACUCUUUGUGUGCUAAGGUGAUAAAAGCAAAAUAUUGUCCUCGUGGGCAUCUUAUUGAUAUUGUCUUCCCUCAAUCAACAUCGCUUCCGUGUCAAGGUAUUAUGCAUGGCCUUGAUUUAUUGAAACAAGGCGUCAUAUCGAGAGUUGUCGAUGGGGCCAAUAUUAACAUAUGGAGGGAUAAUAGGAUUCCUAGGGAGUCUGGCCUAAAGAUUACUGCUAAGAAAAAAAAGAACUAG